rnacentral:rRNA from 1 species
UACGAAGGGGGCUAGCGUUGCUCGGAAUCACUGGGCGUAAAGCGCACGUAGGCGGCUUUCUAAGUCAGAGGUGAAAUCCCGGAGCUCAACUCCGGAACUGCCUUUGAUACUGGAAAGCUUGAGUUCGGGAGAGGUGAGUGGAACUGCGAGUGUAGAGGUGAAAUUCGUAGAUAUUCGCAAGAACACCAGUGGCGAAGGCGGCUCACUGGCCCGAUAC